rnacentral:misc_RNA from 1 species
GGUUUAUCAAGCUUUCUUCUUUUGCACUCCAUUCUCACUUUCUCCUUUGUGUGUAUCAACUGCCGUAACUUUUUUCCACUUCCAACAAUGGCAUCAGCCAUGAUUCUCGAUCCAAAACCCUCGCCGGAGCUACCUGCAACUCGACCUGACUUAUCGUCACACGACGUUCCUUCCGAAAACGGCGAAGACGACCUCUACGCUCGCCUGAAAUCUCUACAACGGCAGCUGGAGUUCAUCGAGAUCCAAGAGGAAUACGUGAAGGACGAACUGAAGAAUCUCCGCCGUGAACAUUUACGGGCGCAGGAAGAGGUAAAACGGAUCCAAUCGGUGCCGUUAGUAAUUGGCCAGUUCAUGGAGAUGAUUGACCAGAAUAACGCCAUAGUUGGUUCAACGACGGGAUCUAAUUACUACGUGAGGAUACUCAGCACGAUUAAUCGGGAGCUACUUAAGCCUUCGGCUUCUGUGGCUUUACAUCGUCACUCGAAUGCUCUAGUUGAUGUUUUGCCUCCUGAGGCUGACUCGAGUAUUUCGCUGCUAAGCCAAUCAGAGAAGCCUGAUGUUACCUACAACGAUA